CAUACAAAUCAUAUCUUAAAGAACCAAACAUCACAAGUUCCACCAAAUAAGAAAAAUCUAAAAAAGUAAUAAUGAAUCACAUAGAUCCAAAAGAAGAAAGAAUUUGUAUUAUAAAGAUUGUCACAAAAGUUGGAUGAACUUUAUUCUACUGCUCAAUCCCAACUCUUUGUUUUUUAAGAUCUUCGUCAUCCACUUCAAUAAUGUCAUGAAUAAACUGAUUUCAACAACAAUUUCAUCAUCCCCUUCCUCACCACCACCACAAACCACAACUUCCACCAUCACCUUAAUAAAAAGAAUUCAAUAUAAUACACACACAUAGAUCUAGUUUAGAUCCACAAAUCAAUGAAAAAAGAAAAAUGGUGGCCGCGGUGGUGGUUGUAGGGCUGGAUCUUGGUUGUAAUGGUGAUGGGUAGCCAGUCUUGGUGGCUAAUGGGUUGUUAAUGUAUACUAAUCAUAAUAGUGAGGAUGUCGGGGUGCUUUAAUGAUUGAGCUUUUAAGUGAGUUGAUGCUUAUAUUACCAUGAUUAUCUUGUGUUUAUUUUUAAAUUUAUUUUAGGGUAAAUUACAAAAAUCAUACCCGAGUUUUGUUCAAAACUACACUGAUCAUACCUACAAUUCAAAAAUUACGCGAGACAUACCUAUCCUUGUUUAAAACCCACACUGCCAGUACCUAAUCCUAACAAAGCAUGACGGAUCGUUAAAAGGGGGUCACAUGCCAGUCACAUGAGGGGGUAAAACGGUCUUUUCCUACAACUUCUUCUUCCUCAUAUGUUGCUCCAUCAAACAAUCAAACUCUAUGUUUAUCAUAUAUAUAUAUAUAUAUAUAGGAAUUCAAAUGGAUCUUUCGAUCUUCAACUAAAACAUCUAUACAAAAAGAUCACAAAAUUUUAAAAUAAUCAAAACCCAUACCUGUUAUAAAGAAAAUCUAUACCUAUAUUUAUAUCAAUCUUUAUAUCAUUCUCUAUACCAUUGAAAUCAUAACACUAAAUCAAAAAAAAAAAACCCAAAUCUAUACUAUCAAAAACAGCAAGUCAGCAAUAAUAACAAUUUUAGAUGAUUUCCAAAUCCAAAUCUAUACUCGAUCAAAUCAAACCAAAAAUCAAAACCCCACAACCACCGAUGCGCCGCCGCAAACCACCACACCAGGUGUAGAUGGCAGGGAAGGGGGAGGUAUAACACCACCACCGCCAAUGACCCGACCACCUUCAUUGGCUAGAUCUGUUAUUAAAGCACCACCACUAGCCGAAUCUAUUAUUAAACCACCAGCAUAACUAGAGCUGCUUUAUUUAAUGCCUCUUUUAGUGGAUUUCAUUGGAUUUUUUGUGUUUUCAUACCAUCACACACACAUAUACAACCGCAUAUAUAACAUAUAUAUAUAUAUAUAUAGAGAGAGAGAGAGAGAGUAAGAAAGAGAUAUAUAUAUAUAUAUAUGUAUACAUAUAUAUAGAUAUAGAUAUAGAAAGCGGGAGAGUGUUAGAAGUGCAGAUAUGUAUAAUAUGGAUUUAGGUAUGAUAUAAAUUUGAUAUAUACAUAUUGAUGUGGUGUAUGGAUGGAUUAAUGAUUUAGAUUAUUUGGGUUUGGAGUUAGAAGAAAAAUAAAGGAUGAUAAAGUAUUAAUAAUCUGCCAAGGAAGAUGAUGAUAUAGGGGCAAAAGAGUCUUUUACCCCCUCACGUGACUGGCAUGUGACCCCCAUUUAACGAUCCAUCAUGCUCUGUUAGGGUUAGGUAUAGUCCGUGUGGGUUUUAGACAAUGAUAGAUAUGUCUUGCGUAAUUUUUGAAAAUUGUAGGUAUGAUCAGUGUAGUUUUGAACAAACCUCAGGUAUGAUUUUUGUAAUUUACCCUUUAUUUUAUUAAAUACAUACAAUCCUAUAUGUAUGCAUCGCUAAAUCUAAUUGUUGUAUGCUUAUGACUAUUGAAAUUAUUGUGGUCAGAAAGCUGUUUUAUGUAUGAUGAUAAGGCUUCAAUAAGUCUAUUAUAUCUAUAUUUCUCCUUUUCAGUUC